rnacentral:rRNA from 1 species
UACGUAGGGUGCGAGCGUUGUCCGGAAUUACUGGGCGUAAAGGGCUCGUAGGCGGCCAACUAAGUCGGACGUGAAAUCCCUCGGCUUAACUGGGGAACUGCGUCCGAUACUGGAUGGCUUGAGUUCGGGAGAGGGAUGUGGAAUUCCAGGUGUAGCGGUGAAAUGCGUAGAUAUCUGGAGGAACACCGGUGGCGAAGGCGGCAUCCUGGACCGACACUGACGCUGAUGAGCGAAAGCCAGGGGAGCAAACGGG